AGCGAGAGAGCGUUGCCGCAGGCAACGACCCGUAGGGCGAAGCGCGCAGCGCUGAGUAAUCCUUCCCCCACCACCA
rnacentral:sRNA from 1 species